rnacentral:tRNA from 1 species
GUGACUGUAUCAUAAUGUUAAUGACCCUCCCUGUGAAGGAGGUCUAUGUGGAUUCAAGUUCCACCAGUCACCCCA